rnacentral:lncRNA from 1 species
UAUGACUCUGCUUUUUAUGCUCAUCAGCUUAGGCUAAGGGGCACUUUUUAGCUGCCAAGGAACAAAGUUUCCAGUUAUUUAAUGUUUUGCGUAUUUUUUUCUUUUCUAGAUGCUUCCCCUGAGGCAGCCCACUGUUGUGCUUGUCAUAUCACUUGGGUGCCUGUAGACAUCUGUAUGCUUCUCCAGCUGCGUGGGAGACACACUUCACCUUGUGGCUCCUCCUUUCAAAGGUUGCAUGUGCUGUAUGGAGGAACAGUUGACUUUGCUGAUAGAGAACGUCUCAUUGCACCCCCUUUCCACACCAUCUGUCUGACCUGGACCCAUUCCAAACACUACGGCUUUGCUGGCAGAAUGGUCUUCCUGCUACAGAAGUUUUGUAAUCUGCUAAUUGACAGGGCACUGUGCUACACUGCGGGAACAUAGCAGUGAAUAAGACAGAGGUGGCUCCAACCUCUCAGAACUUAGUGAAGAAAAGCCGGAAAUCCAGACAUUGAUCUCCACUGUGUACCGGGGCUCUGUCCACAGCGGACAGCUGACCACAGCAUUGCUGUUUCAGGUAGGAUUAGAAGUCUGAUCCAACCCACCUUCUAUUAUUUGGUUGGUGGCUGGCUGGUGGAUAUGACCAGGAACAGCCACUUGUCCAAAAGCAGAGAUUUUAGUCUGGAAAAUAAUAAACAUCCUAAGGGAACACUGAAAUAAAAACCGUAAGUGGAAUUCAGCAUUCAGCUCCAGACUAAUGAAGCCAGCAGUGUGGCAAGAAUACAACACAGAAAUCUUCUUGAAGGUUGAGAGAGGUGCACUACAGCACUUGAUGGUUUUACCAGCAAUACAAAUAGCAGGCAGGAACGAGUAGAGCUUUUGAAAAAAUGCCCAAACCAGGCAGCACAACAGAGAUAAAUAAAAUACACAGUAAAGAGACAAAAUAAUAAAAUACUGUAAUUUGGUCUCCCAGCAUGAAGGAGGGAAGCUAAGACGCAAAGAAUGGAUUAGAAUUCAUGAGUCAUUUGUUCAGCUUGGAACUGAUGGAGUCCUAGCUGGUUGGAGAGGCUAGAGCCAGCUGGUUGUUCUUCCUUCCAACCCUGAGAUCCCUGUACAAUGGACCCGUGCUCUCAUUCUUUCUCCUUCGAGGUUAACCAUUUUUUUAAGCAACAACUUUGGGCCCGGCACUGUGCUUUUCAUCUUCACAAAGCCCUGCAAGGAAUAUAUAAGGAAACUGGGGCUCAGAGAUGUGUCGCGACCUGCUCUGAGGUCACUCAGCUGGUGCAGAGGCCACAGCUAAUCCCAAUCUUUGUGACUGUCACUGGUGCUCCUCUUCCUAUAGUCUAGUGCUUCUGCUGUCCUUUGACAUUUGACAAACGACCUCUGUUUGAGAGGCAAAGCAAAAGUCUCACCAAAGUGAGCACCAGGGAGCCAAACAGUGUAGAAAUAGCCCUUUCCAAGGAUAAAAGGCAGAGACAUCCUUUUAAUUACCUACUUCUGAGGCUGCCUUAAGUCAGGGCCUGCUAAAGGAGUGAUUAGAGAAACAAGUCUCCUCUUGUAGUGCCAGGAAGUAAGAAAGUAAUUAAAACAAAACAAAACUAAACUAAACUAAACCCCACGAUUGGGGGGGGGGUAUGUCAAAGAGAGACAGGAGCCAGCUGAAAGAGCUUCCAAUGGUCAAAGCUGGAGCAAUUUGAGCAACACAAUAAAUAAAGGAGUACUGAGUUAUAUAACCCAAGUCUAAAAUAAAUAUCUAAGAGUCCAUACUAAAAUCAGUGCAUGAUGGAAUAAAUAAGUAAGUGGAAAAGAGACAAAUCUCCUGUGCACAAGAAUUCCAAAUAAUGAAUGUAGAUCUUUGCUCUCAAGGAGGGGAGGGUAACUCCCUACUCCUUAUGUGUGGGUUGCAGGUAGUAACUUCUUUCCGAUGAGUACAGUAUGGAAAGGGGUUAACUGAACAGGGGAGAAACCUGACAAACACUUCCCGAGCCAGGUGAUCAAGGUCAACUUCAAUAGUGAUGCCCUGUGGAUAGUAUGUGCCCCUGAUAAUGAUAUGAUGAAAACGGCAUCUACCUCUGUGUUCUCCCAAAUCCCAUCAUCCCAAGAGAAGAACAUUCUACAAAAUAACCGACCAGUCCUCCUCAGAACUGGAAAGUCAUCAAAAACAAAAAGCACCUGAGAAACUGUCAGAGGCAAGAGAAACCUAAGGAGGCAGGAAGACUAAAUGUGAUGUGGUGAGGGGGCUGAGGGGAGCUGAAGAUUAAUGUGUACUAACAAGGCAGUUAGAAUGAAUAAGACCUACUAUUUGAUAGCACAACAUGGUAACUAUAGCCAAUAACAACUGUACAUCUUAAAAUAACUUAAAGAAUGUAAUUGAAGGCUGGGCGCAGUGGCUCUUGCCUAUAAUCUCAGCACUUUGGGAGACUGAGGCGGGUGGAUCACCUGAGGUCAGGAGUUUGAGACCAGCCUGGCCAAUAUGCUGAAACCCUGUCUCUACUAAAAAUACAAAAAUUAGCCAGGCGUGGUGCUGGGCACCUGUAAUCCCAGCUACUUGGGAGGCUGAGGCAGGAGAAUUGCUUGAACCCUGGAAGCAGAGGUUGCGGUGAGCUAAGAUCACGCCACUGUACUCUAACCUGGGUGACAGAGUGAGACCCUAUCUUAAAAAAAAAAAAAAAAAAGAAUGUAAUUGAAUUAUUUGUAAUUCAAAUGAUAAAUGCUUGAUGAUGUGUUUAUUUCACAUUGCAUGCCUGUAUUAAACAUCUCAUGUACUCCAUAAACAUAUACACCUAGUAUGUAUUCACAAAAAUAAAAAAUAAAAUUAAAAAAGUGUAAUAUGGUGUCCUGGAUGGGAUCUUGGAACAGAACAAGGACACAAGGUAGUAACUAAGGAAAUACGGAUAAAACAUAGACUUUAGUUAGUGAUAAUGUAUUGAUACUGGUUCACUAAUCUGAACGAAGAUGUUAAUAAUAGGGAAAACUAGGUAUGGAGCAUAUGGAAACUCUGUAUUCUCUUCUCAAUUUUUCUGUAAAUCUAGAACAGUUCUAAAAAAUUUCCCAUUAAAAAAUAGGCCAAACUCUAUUAGCAGGAUAAUUUUACCAUGAAUUGAAACUGCCUCAUGUAGACGGGGAAUGCUGCCUUCUGUGAUGCUGUUUAUUGCAAUUCCAGUCCGGGUCUUAACCUUCAGCCCACACAAAGGACUGUCGGGCUGCCUUUUGGCCUUCAGAAAGGCUUUGUGGCCUGGGCUCUCCCCAGGGAAGCCAGUGUGCA